rnacentral:rRNA from 1 species
GACGAACGCUGGCGGCGUGCCUAAUACAUGCAAGUAGAACGCACAGUUUAUACCGUAGCUUGCUACACCAUAGACUGUGAGUUGCGAACGGGUGAGUAACGCGUAGGUAACCUGCCUGGAAGCGGGGGUUAACUAUUGGAAACGAUAGCUAUUACCGCAUAAUAUUAAUUAUUGCAUGAUAAUUGAUUGACAGGUGCAAUUGCACCACUACCAGAUGGACCUGCGUUGUAUUAGCUAGUAGGUGAGGUAACGGCUCACCUAGGCGACGAUACGUAGCCGACCUCAGAGGGUGAACGGCCACACUGGGACUGGGACACGGCCCAGACUCCUACGGGAGGCAGCAGUAGGGAGUCUUCGGCAAUGGACGAAAGUCUGACCGAGCAACGCCGCGUGAGUGAAGAAGGUUUUCGGAUCGUAAAGUGCUGUUGUAAGAGAAGAACGGGUGUGAGAGUGGAAAGUUCACACUGUGACGGUAUCUUACCAGAAAGGGACGGCUAACUACGUG